ensembl:lncRNA
UGAAGUGAAGCACGGAGCUCCUUUUCUACACGGACCUGCUGAGGACAGAAGAGAGCUGCUCACUGAGGAAGUUCAUGUCUACAAGCUCAUUCACAUCAGCGGAGAGGAAAGUCUCCGGAACCCAGAUGUUUGUCCAUGAAGAGUGAUCAGUCUAUUGAUCGAUAUAUUGACUUCAAAGAUGGACGCCGUUCUAAUGACCCAGAACAUCGAUGUCUCCAGAGGGGGCAAGAGUGUUGCUACCGCAUCAUAGAACAUACUCCACCUGGUGGUGUAAGGUAUAAGCGGCUUCUUAGCAAUAACGUUGUUGACAAUCUCCGAAACCACCGUUGACCUACUUGCCUUGUACCACAGCCCUGCGCAUUUUGUGGUAGCAUUUCUGUAGAUAGAUUUUGUUUCCGGCUUUGACAUUAGCCACUUAUCGACAUCAGUGCAUGAGAUGAGGUUCAACGUGUGCGAUGCGCAUCUGUGAUGCACCAGGUGAAACCACGUCAUUGACAUCAACUACAUUAUCUAGCACAUCCCCAAUGUUUGUAAAAGUCGCCUCAUCCUCCAAAUGAUCUUCAGUAGCUGACUGGUACAUUUUUUAAACACCUUGACCAAAUUGGAGCCAUUGUCAGUAACAGUUGCUGUCACUUUGAAAGCUGGGCGAUAGGAUUAGUGGAUGUUGUCUAUUUCGGUUGCAAUAAUGUCAUAUGUAUGUUGGCCCUUGAAGUUUUACUUUGUUACUCGUUACUACAACACUGGUUGUAUCAGAUGCAGAGGUCUGCAGACGUUGUUUUUAUGACCCACAUUAAGAACUAAAACCAGAUGAAACUGAUGACUAACUGUCACUCAACUAAUAAACUGUCCGUCCGUCAUCGACAGUCUUCAGCAUCUGGUUUUCAUCAUGAUCAAUCAUGACAGAA